GUCCAGUAGGGUUGGCAGGAAAGUCAAAGUUUAUUCUGAGGCCAGGUCAGUUUGGCGUGACAGUUCAUCUGUGGUCCCAUUUUGCUUGCCUGAUGUAUAGUAAAAUCAUAGGGUUGUAGGGCAAGGCUCCAGCGCAGCAAACGGGCAUUGUCCCCUGAGACCCGGUUGAGCCAGACCAAAGGAUUGUGGUCGGUGAUAAGGGUGAAGGCACGGCCAUAGAGAUAUGGAGUGAGUUUUUUGAGAGCCCAGACUAACGCCAGGCACUCUUUCUCAAUGGUCGCAUAACUGACCUCCCUUGGCAACAACUUCCGACUCAGGUAGGCUACCGGGUGCUCUCCUCCAUCCUCUCCGAUCUGGCUUAAUA